rnacentral:misc_RNA from 1 species
GAUGAAGAACGUAGCGAAAUGCGAUAAGUAGUGUGAAUUGCAGAAUUCAGUGAAUCAUCGAAUCUUUGAACGCACAUUGCGCCCCUUGGUAUCCCGAGGGGCAUGCCUGUUCGAGCGUCAUUUCACCACUCAAGCCUGGCUUGGUGUUGGGCGACGUCCCCUUUGGGGACGCGCCUCGAAAUGCUCGGCGGCGUGGCACCGGCUUUAAGCGUAGCAGAAUCUUUCGCUUUGGAAGUCGGGGCCCCGUCUGCCGGAAGACCUACUCGCAAGGUUGACCUCGGAUCAGGCAGGGAUACCCGCUGAACUUAAGCAUAUCAAUAAGCGGAGGA